rnacentral:rRNA from 1 species
CCUACGGGGGGCAGCAGUGAGGAAUAUUGGUCAAUGGACGCAAGUCUGAACCAGCCAAGUAGCGUGCAGGAUGACGGCCCUAUGGGUUGUAAACUGCUUUUAUAUGGGGAUAAAGUGGGGAACGUGUUCCCUUUUGCAGGUACCAUAUGAAUAAGGACCGGCUAAUUCCGUGCCAGCAGCCGCGGUAAUACGGAAGGUUCGGGCGUUAUCCGGAUUUAUUGGGUUUAAAGGGAGCGUAGGCCGUUUGGUAAGCGUGUUGUGAAAUGUAGGAGCUCAACUUCUAGAUUGCAGCGCGAACUGUCAGACUUGAGUGCGCACAACGUAGGCGGAAUUCAUGGUGUAGCGGUGAAAUGCUUAGAUAUCAUGAAGAACUCCGAUUGCGAAGGCAGCUUACGGGAGCGCAACUGACGCUGAAGCUCGAAGGUGCGGGUAUCGAACAGGAUUAGAUACCCUUGUAGU